rnacentral:rRNA from 1 species
AGAGUUUGAUCCUGGCUCAGGAUGAACGCUGGCGGCGUGCUUAAUACAUGCAAGUCGAGCGAGGACCACUUGGUGGCAACACCGGGUGGCUCCUAGCGGCGCACGGGUGCGUAACACGUAUGGAAUUUGCCCGUUACUGAGGGAUAGCCCGGAGAAAUCCGGAUUAAUACCUCAUGAUACUAUGAGAUGGCAUCAUUUUAUAGUUAAAGAUUUAUCGGUAACGGAAGACCAUGCGGCUGAUUAGCUAGUUGGUGAGGUAAUGGCUCACCAAGGCGACGAUCAGUAGGGGACCUGAGAGGGUGAUCCCCCACACUGGUACUGAGAUACGGACCAGACUCCUACGGGAGGCAGCAGUAGGGAAUAUUGGGCAAUGGGCGAAAGCCUGACCCAGCCAUGCCGCGUGCAGGAAGACGGCCUUCUGGGUUGUAAACUGCUUUUGAUCGGGAACAAAGAGCCCUUGCGAGGGAAGUUGAGUGUACCGAUAGAAUAAGCACCGGCUAACUCCGUGCCAGCAGCCGCGGUAAUACGGAGGGUGCAAGCGUUGUCCGGAUUUAUUGGGUUUAAAGGGUGCGUAGGCGGCUUUUUAAGUCAGUGGUGAAAUCCUGCAGCUUAACUGUAGAACAGCCAUUGAUACUGAAGAGCUUGAGUACAGACGAGGUAGGCGGAAUUUAUGGUGUAGCGGUGAAAUGCAUAGAUACCAUAAAGAACCCCUAUUGCGAAGGCAGCUUACUAGGCUGUAACUGACGCUGAGGCACGAAAGCGUGGGGAUCAAACAGGAUUAGAUACCCUGGUAGUCCACGCUGUAAACGAUGAUUACUCGAUGUUCGCGAUAUACAGUGAGCGUCCAAGCGAAAGCGUUAAGUAAUCCACCUGGGAAGUACGAUCGCAAGAUUGAAACUCAAAGGAAUUGACGG